rnacentral:rRNA from 1 species
AUGGUGCGUGUGCGGAACAUCUUAGAUCUGGCUGGGGAGCGGGAGGUGCGCGAGUUCUUGUCCUUCUUCGGCGAAAUCGAGCACGUCGACAUCAGCCCUGACGUGGUGGCGACUGGGAGGACGGCCUACGCCACCUUCAAGGACGUCGAGGGCCCUAGAGAUAACGCUGCUGCUCUCGGUAUGUAUGGCCUCGCGCAAUCAUCCAACUGUUACUUUCAUUUGUGCAGUGGAGGUGUUUAUGCAAUCUGGUUGUGCUGGUAUUUUCAAUUGCUAUCUAUAAUGAAUGAUUCUCUGCACUGUCAAUGUCAUUGUUGA